UACGAAGGGGCUAGCGUUGCUCGGAAUCACUGGGCGUAAAGCGCACGUAGGCGGCUUGUUAAGUCAGGGGUGAAAUCCUGGAGCUCAACUCCAGAACUGCCUUUGAUACUGGCGAGCUUGAGUUCGGGAGAGGUGAGUGGAACUGCGAGUGUAGAGGUGAAAUUCGUAGAUAUUCGCAAGAACACCAGUGGCGAAGGCGGCUCACUGGCCCGGUACUGACGCUGAGGUGCGAAAGCGUGGG
rnacentral:rRNA from 1 species